rnacentral:rRNA from 1 species
GACGAACGCUGGCGGUGUGCUUAACACAUGCAAGUCGAACGGAAAGGCCCUGCUUUUGUGGGGUGCUCGAGUGGCGAACGGGUGAGUAACACGUGAGUAACCUGCCCUUGACUUUGGGAUAACUUCAGGAAACUGGGGCUAAUACCGGAUAGGAGCUCCUGCUGCAUGGUGGGGGUUGGAAAGUUUCGGCGGUUGGGGAUGGACUCGCGGCUUAUCAGCUUGUUGGUGGGGUAGUGGCUUACCAAGGCUUUGACGGGUAGCCGGCCUGAGAGGGUGACCGGCCACAUUGGGCCUGAGAUACGGCCCAGACUCCUACGGGAGGCAGCAGUGGGGAAUAUUGCACAAUGGGCGGAAGCCUGAUGCAGCAACGCCGCGUGCGGGAUGACGGCCUUCGGGUUGUAAACCGCUUUCGCCUGUGACGAAGCGUGAGUGACGGUAAUGGGUAAAGAAGCACCGGCUAACUACGUG